CAGAUAGUGAAUGAGGACAGAAAAGGCAUAAAAACUGGUACACCAAAGACAAGGGGCACACGCAGUCCUAGCCAAAGUCCCUGCUAAAGAGAUUAAGAUCUUGCUCUGACCAGUCAGUUAACACAGAGUGAACAUUCAGCUUCUUCUCGCAUCCCGCGCUCAGCAGGGACCUCAUUUAUAGCUGAACAGAGGCUGAAGAGGAAAAGAGCAUGUGCUUGGGCAUUCAUGGGAAGUAAGGACAGUUUGUGUCUUCCCUACCCCCACUCCUACCAAAGGAGCUCCCACCAGCUCAGUGAAAUCCCAGCUGGGUUCCCUAGCCUGGCAGAAUUUUCAAGAAUCCAAGACUUUCGCAUACAAGACCUGCCCACCUGUCUCUGGAUCCCCAACACUGAGUAGGGUCUAGCAGAGGCAGUCCCUCAACCCUGGUCCACUGAUCUCCCUAGCUCCUGCUGCUUCCAAACCACAGACACAACUUCCCCACAUGCAGUGUGGACUCAAGGAGACUGCAAAUCCUGACCUGAAAUCACAGAAAUGAGGCAGCGGCCAAAGAUCCUCUUCCAGGACAAGCCGUGUUGGAGGCGUGGGGCCCGGCCUCUGGGUUACAGGUUGUCUUAAGGAGGUGUUCCCGGGUUGGUGCCAUUCCCAGACCCCCUACCUGUCCCCAGUGGGAGUCAGUCCAACUCUUUCUGCCUCCGGCUCCGACGGCUCAGCCCGGCUUGGCCCAGUGCGGUUGCCGGACUCAGGUGAGGCUCUGGAGUCUCAAAGGCGGUCCUGGAAGAGGCAGAAGCUGCCCAUUCCUAUCAGCAUCCCUUCCAGGGGAAAAGUGGGCGAGCCAGGAGCAACAAAACAGGAAAGUCUGCCUGUCAACUCUGGACUCUCUCCUAACCCGGAGCCGCCACCUUGGACUCUUCCUGGGAUGUUUUUACCAGUAAUGUAAUCCACACUGGAUGAGGACCGUGCGGAGAUCUGGGAGUCUGAAGUUUAAAGGAACAGGUCCCAGAAGGAACCUAGCCUUCUUGUCUGGGAUGAUAUCUGGAAGCCUUUUGGAUUCCAGGUUCCCAUAGCUGACACCCUUAUGGGAAGAAACUGCAGGAGAAGAUCCCACAGCAGUCUGAAAAUUAGAGGACUUGGAGCUCAUGGUAUUUCCUGAACAUACCUAUUAAAUUGUCUAUUCAAAGGAGCAGAUUGUCUUUAGAAGGCUUAACUUCUUGAGUUCAUUCAAUACUUGGAGAAAUCAAGUGUACA